UACGUAGGCAGCAAGCGUUGUUCGGAAUUACUGGGCGGAAAGAGCGCGCAGGCGGUCGUACAAGUCGCGUGUGAAAGCCCCCGGCUCAACUGGGGAGGGUCACGCGAUACUGUUCGACUCGAAGGCAGGAGAGGGAAGUGGAAUUCCCGGUGUAGUGGUGAAAUGCGUAGAUAUCGGGAGGAACACCAGUGGCGAAGGCGACUUCCUGGCCUGUUCUUGACGCUGAGGCGCGAAAGCUAGGGUAGCAAACGGG
rnacentral:rRNA from 1 species